rnacentral:rRNA from 1 species
ACGCGGGCGGCGUGCCUACAAGAUGCAAGUCGAGCGUGAAAGUUCCUUCGGGAAUGAGUAAAGCGGCAGACGGGUGAGUAAUACAUAGGUAAUCUACCUUUGAGCUUGGGAUAACCCCGCGAAAGUGGGGCUAAUACCGGAUAAGACCACGUGGCUUAAGCUACGUGGUAGAAGGUGGCUUGUAUUUAUACUGGCUAUCACUUGAGGAUGAGCCUAUGGCCUAUCAGCUUGUUGGCGGGGUAAAAGCCCACCAAGGCUAUGACGGGUAGUUGGUCUGAGAGGACGACCAACCACACUGGGACUGAGACACGGCCCAGACUCCUACGGGAGGCAGCAGUGGGGAAUAUUGGGCAAUGGGCGCAAGCCUGACCCAGCGACGCCGCGUGGGUGAUGAAGGCCUUCGGGUUGUAAAGCCCUGUCAUGCGGAAAGAACAGUCUUACGGUUAAUACCCGUGAGAUUUGACGGUACCGCAGGAGGAAGCACCGGCUAACUCCGUGCCAGCAGCCGCGGUAAUACGGAGGGUGCAAGCGUUGUUCGGAAUUAUUGGGCGUAAAGGGCGCGUAGGCGGUAAUGAAAGUCAGAUGUGAAAUACUUCGGCUCAACUGAAGAACUGCAUCUGAAACUUCAUAACUAGAGUACGGAAGAGGGAAAUGGAAUUCCCGGUGUAGAGGUGAAAUUCGUAGAUAUCGGGAGGAACACCAGUGGCGAAGGCGAUUUCCUGGUCUGGUACUGACGCUGAGGCGCGAAAGUGUGGGGAGCAAACAGGAUUAGAUACCCUGGUAGUCCACACUGUAAACGGUGAACACUAGGUGUGGGAGGUGUAAUACCUUCUGUGCCGCAGCUAACGCGAUAAGUGUUCCGCCUGGGAAGUACG